rnacentral:lncRNA from 1 species
UAAGCGUUUUAUAGAUUUGCUAAACCUAACGCACUGACUUACUUGUGUAAAUAAUGUAGUUUUCGUAACAUUGUAAUGCAUACCCCUUUGUCUAUAUUCAGAUCUAUUUUAAUGAAAUGCAAAUUCUUAAAAUGCUAACAGUUUUAGAUUUAAUAUAUUUAGGAAAUAUAUUUCUUCAUCGUUGCUAAUCUUUAGAAGGGACAGUGUUUUAUAAUUAUGUUUUAAAAGGGACGGUGUUAUAUGCUGUUAAAACGGACAGUGUUUAAUCAUCAUUAAUGUUUUAAAGAGGUCAAUUUUUUAGCGUUUUAUGGUUUAAAAGGAAAGAUGAUUUAUGUUUAAAAACUGUACAGUAAUUUGUGUUAUAAAAGGGACAGUGUUUUGGGUUUUACAAGGGAUCAGUGUUUACGUUUCAAAAGGGAAAGCGUUUUAACUUUUAGAAGGGCCGUUAUGGUUUAAAAGGAAUGAUGAUUUAUGUUUAAAAAGGGACAGUGAUUUGUGUUUUAAAAGGGCAGUGUUUUAUAAGGGCUAGUGUUUUAUGUUAUAAGAGGAAAAAUGCUUUAAAAGGGACAGUGUUAUAUGUUUUAAAGGAACAGUGUUUUAAAAAUGCAAGUGUUUUAUGUUUUAAAAGGAACGGUGUUUAUGCUUUAAAAGGACACAGUUUUAAAAGGGCUAGUGUUUUAUGUUUUAAAAGGGACAGUGUUUAUGUUUUAAAAGGGACAGUGUUAUUGCUUUAAAAGGACAAAGUUUUAAAAGGGCUAGUGUUUUAUGUUUUAAAAGGGACAGUGUUUAUGUUUUAAAAGGACAAAGUUUUAAAAAUGCUAGUGUUUUAUGUUUUAAAAGGGACAAUGUUUUAUGUUUUAAAAGGGACAGUGUUUAUGUUUUAAAAGGUACAGUGUUUAUGCUUUAAAAGGAUAAAGUUCUAAAAGGGCUAGUGUUUUAUGUUUUAAAAGAGACAGUGUUUUUUUAAAGGACAAAGUUUAAAAAAUGCUAGUGUUUUAUGUUUUAAAAGGGACAGUGUUUAUGUUUUAAAAGGUACAGUGUUUAUGCUUUAAAAGGAUAAAGUUUUAAAAGGGCUAGUGUUUUAUGUUUUAAAAGGGACAGUGUUUAUGUUUUAAAAGGACAAAGUUUAAAAAAUGUUAGUGUUUUAUGUUUUAAAAGGGCUAGUGUUUUAUGUUUUAAAAGGGACAGUGUUUAUGCUUUAAAGGACAAUGUUUUAAAAGGGCUAGUGUUUUAUGUUUUAAAAGGGACAGUGUUUAUGUUUUAAAAGGACAAAGUUUUAAAAAUGCUAGUGUUUUAUAGGGACAAUGUUUUAUGUUUUAAAAGGGACUUUGUUUAUGCUUUAAAAGGACAAAGUUUUAAAAGGGCUAGUGUUUUAUGUUUUAAAAGGGACAGUGUUUAUGCUUUAAAAGGACAAAGUUUUAAAAAUGCUAGUGCUUUAUGUUUUAAAAGGGACACUGUUUAUGUUUUUUAAAAAAUGCUAGUGUUUUAUGUUUAAAAAGGGACAGUGUUUCAAAAGGGCUAGUGUUUUAUGUUUUAAAAGGGACAGUCUUUUAAAAGGGUUAAUGUUUCAAUAGUAUGUUUUAAAAGGACACAAUUUUUAAAGGGCUAGUGUUUUAUGCUUUUAACGGGACGGUGUUUUAUGUUUUAAAAGUGCUAGUAUUUAAUGUUUUAAAAGUGAAGGCGUUUUAUGUUUUAAGGGAAAGUGUUUCAUGUUUUAAAAGGGAAAGUGCGUAACGCUUUGAAAGGAUCAGUGUUUUAUGUUUUAAAGGUGUAGGCGUUUUAUGUUUUAAAUGGCACAGAGUGUUUCCUGUUUUAAAAGUGCUAAUAUUUAAUGUUUUAAAAGUGAAGGCGUUUUAUGUUUUAAGGGAACGUGUUUCAUGUUUUAAAAGGGAAAGUGCGUAACGUUUUGAAAGGAUCAGUGUUUUAUGUUUUAAAGGUGUAGGCGUUUUAUGUUUUAAAUGGCACAGAGUUUCCUGUUUUAAAAGGGAAAGUGUUAAACGUUUUGAAAGGCACCAGGCAAAAUCGAAAUUCAGUAUGCUUGGAGCAGAAAAAAACAACAACAAAAAAUACAACAACCGAGGACACACUUCAACAUGAUGUUUUAUUACAGAGAAAAUGUAACAGUUGAGACGCCUUGUGAAGCAGCGUAUGGGGAACACCUAUUCGUUAUAGAAGUUCGAUUAUACGAAGAACCACGUCAUUGAUCACUGGCAACAAACUGGAAGCGGAAACAGUUUAAAGUGCGUCAUCACAGUUCCCGCCAUCUGGAAUGAUACAGUUUUACACGUUAUGAAACGUGCAGCAGAAAAGUUAAACAUUUUUUUAUACUCAUUAUAGUAUCAAAACAGAAGAAGUUGUAACAUUUUCGUCUGAUAAGAAAGACCCUCUUCACACUAUCGAAACGUGAAUGCACUGGAAGCCUGGUAGUGGAAUUUUUAGGACCGAGAAGCCGGAUCAUUUGAGGUUGCGAUGAGUUUGGAGAACAGAACUGAAGGUCAAGGCUAUAAUUGAGAAUCUUGAAAACAUCUACAACAUGUCUGAGAUUACAGUAAACUACAACAAGUUGACGUAUUUGGUAGAGAUGGUACCUACCCAAAUAAAUCAAAGGGGGACAACUCUGAAUUGACCAAUAAACUGAAGCCAACAUUAAACAUUGAUCAAAAGUGAAACAAAAAUCAGAUAUGUCCUUUUUCAAACAA